rnacentral:misc_RNA from 1 species
CGAGCACACGCAACUCGUUUGAUCAGCCCUCCCGCAGCCCUCCCGACACCGUGCAGCGUCACAGCGACGGUGGAGGCGACAUGUCUGCUUCCACAUUAUGCUGCAUGUGGGCAGGCGCUGCUCCGUGGCGGAGCAUGGCCCGCAUGGAUUGGGAUGACGGCGCAACCGCAGUGCUGCCGCGCCUUGUACGCGAACGGCGUCUACUCGCUUUCCUCCGCCAGCGACGAUAGUGGGAGCUCCAGCGCCACGAGAAGAGUCAUGCGCUGCCGGGGCAGACCAAAUACACGUCGAAAAGGAGACCGCCCGUCGCUGCUCUUCUCCUUUGCCUUCCCCUUGCCCUGUUGCAACCUUCUCUGCUUCCGUCGUGAGUGCACCCGACGCUGGCGGCGGACUGCUGCAUGCACUACGCGCUGAUGCUGUACCUGGACGCCGCUGUGCCGCAGGCGUGUGGCACGCCGAAGCACGCGCUGUUCUUCAUAACGGAGCCGGUGCGGUGGUGCUGCGGAUCGAGUGCGCGCGUGCUGGAGGGCGGUGUCGACGGGCGCGGUGGACUACGAGGUGAACGAGACUCACUUGGCGGGUGCGCAGGCGCUGUCGGACUACCUGCUGGAUACGUGGUACGUGCACGACAUGCCGCGCUACGGCGCUGUGUCGUGCGUUGAUCGGAACGUGACGGCGCUGCUGAGAUUUGCGGAUGAGUGGCGCGGCACCAACGUGAACGUGUUCCUGUACAACUCCUCCUCGCACCACCAGGCUGGGCUGAACCUCGCAACGUACUACGACCUGUUCAUCAAGUCCUUCCUCGGCCGCGACAGCGCGUUCAUGCGGUACAAGGUGGAGCUGUUCAACGAGCCUGCGAGCCAGUCGCAGCUGGGCUUCAUCGUUGGCGCGCCCGGUGGGCGGUCCGCAGGUGGUCUUCCUGGACGAGCCGUCGGCCGGCAUGGACCCUGUGGCGCGACGCGGGAUGUGGACUGCGAUCCAGCGCGCCGCGGGGCACUGCUCCGUUGUGCUGACGACGCACCACCUGGAGGAGGUGGAGGCGCUCGCGGACAUUGUGGCGAUCAUGGUGCGCGGGUACGUGCGGUGCGUCGGCGACAAGGUGCACCUGAAGAACAAGUUCGGCAGCGCCUUCGAGGUGAGCGUGCGGCUCGCGUCGGCGCAGCACGCGGAGCUCUUUGCGUCGUUCAUGCAGGCGGCGUUCCCCGACGCUGUGCGGAGCGAAGGCGAGGGUCGGCGGCUCGUGUACCAGCUGCCGCGCGAUCGCGGCUUCGGCGACGUGUUCCAGACGUUCCAGGCGAACAAGGAGCAGCUGCACAUCACGGACUACAGCGUGUCGCAGACGUCCAUUGGAGACGUUUUCCUUCGUAUUAUUGAAUCUUCAAAGCAUGUUGAGGCCGCUGUCCUCAGUGGAACCCCCUGAUGAGGUGGGAAGUGGGUUACGAUAACCGGGAGGGAAGAGGAAGUGCGCGAUGUGGCAGCUCGGAUAGUCGAUCGCAUAGUUGCAGGUGUGCUUUUGCGGGCACGCAGCGCAUAAGCCUUCUGCUGCUGUGCCGGUAUGUUUGUAUUCUGCGUGAGCUCUUUCACAGCGCGUAUCUCGUUUUGUGAUCCUUUUUUCUCUUCUGACGCUCGGUCGCUACUUCGAGAUGCGCGCGUGGCAGCGGAGUAUCUAUGCAGUGAUUCACUCAGCAUGUAAGUGUAUCGUUGUCUCGGAGGUGGAGCAGGUGAUUAUGGGUGCUAGCCACAGGGGGUGCUUGUCACUUGCCUCUGUCUUGGUAGCUGCCCCUUUUCGCCGUCCUCUCCGCAGCUUUCUCUCGUCGUAUCUCAUGACAGUUCAAUGACAUGGCAGACGUGCGCGCUGCGAAAGGAG